UAUCACAGUGGCUGUUCCUUAU
rnacentral:miRNA from 1 species